AGCAAAACACUGUUCUGAGAGGCCAACUAAAUGGUCCCUGGCCCACAGAUGAUCAAUUUCGUGAAAAAGACACUUGGGAAACUAGUAUGCUGAGGCGUUAUCAUUUAUUCUAGAUUGUGUAUAAUGAGUGAUCAUAUAAUUUAUCAUACAAACCAGCACAUUGAAGUGGGAAGGCACAGUUAAAUUUAUAACAGGGCAACAGAACUAACAGGCAAAUGAAGAUGUAUGCUCCCAAUAUAUAAUCUAAAGGUCAAAUGGCUUGUUCAAAGUAAUGACAGAUGAGUUGCCAGAGCCAAAGCACAUUGAUAUUAUAGCCUAAUUAGAUGUCACUCACAGUUUGCUUGCCAUGGAACUAGUUAUAGCCUUUUCUAGGCUCUUUGCAAUAUGUAAUUCUCUUUGCAAAUUAGAUCCUAAAGGCAUUUAUGGAUCCUGAGAUUAUGAGCUGAA